rnacentral:rRNA from 1 species
UACGUAGGGUGCAAGCGUUAUCCGGAAUUAUUGGGCGUAAAGAGCUCGUAGGCGGUUUGUCGCGUCUGCUGUGAAAACUGGAGGCUCAACCUCCAGCCUGCAGUGGGUACGGGCAGACUAGAGUGCGGUAGGGGGAGAUUGGAAUUCCUGGUGUAGCGGUGGAAUGCGCAGAUAUCAGGAGGAACACCGAUGGCGAAGGCAGAUCUCUGGGCCGUAACUGACGCUGAGGAGCGAAAGCGUGGGUAGCAAACAGG